ACAGAGUUCAUGCCCUUACGGGUAGAUCUCCCACCCUAUGUUAUUAUUACUUUGUUGCUUUGGCGGGCCGUCAGGCUCACGCCCGGCUGCCGGCCCCGGCUGGUAAGCGCCCGCCAGAGGACCCAAAACCCUGAUUAUUAGUGUCGUCUGAGUACUAUAUAAUAGUUAAAACUUUCAACAACGGAUCUCUUGGUUCUGGCAUCGAUGAAGAACGCAGCGAAAUGCGAUAAGUAAUGUGAAUUGCAGAAUUCAGUGAAUCAUCGAAUCUUUGAACGCACAUUGCGCCCCUUGGUAUUCCGAGGGGCAUGCCUGUUCGAGCGUCAUUACAACCCUCAAGCCUGGCUUGGUAUUGGGCUUCGCCACUCACCUGGCGGGCCUUAAAAUCAGUGGCGGUGCCGUCGAGGCCCUGAGCGCAGUAAAUAUCCUCGCUAUAGGGACCCGGCGGUUGCUGGCCAUCAACCCCCAACUUUCUAAGUUUGACCUCGGAUCAGGUAGGGAUACCCGCUGAACUUAA
rnacentral:rRNA from 1 species